UACGUAGGCAGCGAGCGUUGUUCGGAAUUACUGGGCGUAAAGAGUGUGUAGGCGGUGCUCUAAGUUCGGUGUGAAAUCUCCCGGCUUAACUGGGAGGGUGCGCCGGAAACUGGAGUGCUCGAGCGUGGGAGAGGAAAGCGGAAUUCCUGGUGUAGCGGUGAAAUGCGUAGAUAUCAGGAGGAACACCUGCAGUGUAGACGGCUUUCUGGACCAUUGCUGACGCUGAGACACGAAAGCGUGGGUAGCAAACAGG
rnacentral:rRNA from 1 species